rnacentral:rRNA from 1 species
UACGUAGGGGGCAAGCGUUGUCCGGAAUUAUUGGGCGUAAAGCGCGUGUAGGCGGUCCGGUAAGUCGGCUGUGAAAGUCCAGGGCUCAACCCUGGGAUGCCGGUGGAUACUGUCGGGCUAGAGUGCGGAAGAGGCGAGUGGAAUUCCCGGUGUAGCGGUGAAAUUCGUAGAAUAUUCGCAAGAACACCAGUGGCGAAGGCGGCUCACUGGCCCGGAUACUGACGCUGAGACGCGAAAAGCGUGGGGAGCAAACAGG